ensembl:misc_RNA
UGAGAAGGCCAAGAGACUGAAGCCCUCCAUUUUUUCACAGAACAGGUAGAACAUGGACAGCAGCAAUUCAACUUUUCCCCACACUGCCCUGCCAAUGUGCCUCGACCUUGACCUGGGGGGCCCACCUCUGGGGUGAGAGGGUGGCUCAUUCAUUCAGUCCUUGGCCAUUCUUCUGAAACUGCCAAC